UUUUCCCAAAAAUGAAGACAAGGCAGAAGACACGGUCGUGCCACCUUCUGAACCCCAACAGAGUACCAUCAGCACUGUGAAGUCAAGGACGUUGGUGUCCAGACAGAGGUUUCCUGCCCUCCCAACUCGCUGCUGUUUUUCUGCACAAAAAAGGUGACCUUAGAUGAUGAGCCGCGUUGUCCUGAAGUCAAUGAGAGAGAUGAGCCAGUUUCCAGGCCGUGUACCCCAGCAGGUCACGGUGGGAGCCAGGGGGCCAUGCUAAGAGACCACGUCACACACUGCUGACUAACAUACGAUGACGAGUUCGUCAAUGAUGAGCAGCGGCAGAGAACAGCUUACCUGCUGUUCUAUGAUAAACAGGUGAUUUCUCCCAUCAAACAGUUGGAUUGUAAAUGGUAAAUGGUAAAUGGCCUGUAUUUGUAUAGUGCUUUACUAGUCCCUAAGGACCCCAAAGCGCUUUACAUCCAUCCAUUCACACACACAUUCACACACUGGUGAUGGCAAGCUACAUUGUAGCCUCAGCCACCCUGGGGCGCACUGACAGAGGCGAGGCUGCCGAACACUGGCGCCACCGGGCCCUCUGACCCUGGAUUGUGUUGGAUACUGUCGUUUAUAUAAGAUUUUAUUGUAAUGUAUAGUACAUAAGACUUUUAUUUUAUUUGUAUCUUUUUAUGUUUAUGUUGUUUAGUGUACACCGAGGGCCGUGGG
ensembl:lncRNA